rnacentral:piRNA from 1 species
UGUUUUCUUAAAGUUCUUAGG